CCAUAUUGGGUGAUAGCCCCGUACACGAAAAUCUCUUAUCAAUGAAAUCGAGUAGGACGGAGCACGAGAAACUUUGUCUGAAUAUGGGGGGACCAUCCUCCAAGGCUAAAUACUACUGACUGACCGAUAGUGAACUAGUACCGUGAGGGAAAGGCGAAAAGAACCCCGGGAGGGGAGUGAAAUAGAUCCUGAAACCGUAUGCGUACAAGCGGUGGGAGCCUACUUUGUUAGGUGACUGCGUACCUUUUGUAUAAUGGGUCAGCGACUU
rnacentral:rRNA from 1 species